CAAGGCUGUUAAGCUAUACCGUGAGCAGUUUCAGGAUCUUUCUUAAGGCCAACUCUAAGGGGAGGUGCAUUUAUUCCAUGACACAUUUUAGCAGUACAAGAAAUACUUGGAUAAAUGACGAAGCCAAGGUUCGAUAUGAACAAAUUGUGGAUUGGGUUAUGGUCCAAAACCACCUACAUCUUCUAAGACUUCAAGGCGAGCCAAUCAAGAAGUUUUAGAGGAAUUCACACACUUGUGUGAGGAGGUGCAAGAACUACGAGGCAUAGGGGAAGAAUUUUGCCAAUAUAGGAAAAUGAUGGAGAAAAUGCAGCAGUUCAUCUCAGUUAAUAUGGGUUUUUUUUCUGAUGGCUCACAGACAUUUCCAGGCCAAUUUCCACCAGAUCCUCCACCACCUGCAACAAUUUGAGUUUUCAGUUGUUACUUUUUGUUGAAUAUUACAAUUUAGUCAACUUUUUAUUUGAAAACAAACUUAUA